rnacentral:rRNA from 1 species
AACGAACGCUGGCGGCAUGCCUAACACAUGCAAGUCGAACGAGACCUUCGGGUCUAGUGGCGCACGGGUGCGUAACGCGUGGGAACCUGCCCUUAGGUUCGGAAUAACUCCCCGAAAGGGGUGCUAAUACCGGAUAAUGUCUUCGGACCAAAGAUUUAUCGCGUUUGGAUGGGCCCGCGUUGGAUUGGCUAGUUGGUAGGGUAAAAGCCUACCAAGGCGACGAUCCAUAGCUGGUCUGAGAGGAUGAUCAGCCACACUGGGACGGAGACACGGCCCAGACUCCUACGGGAGGCAGCAGUGGGGAAUAUUGGACAAUGGGCGAAAGCCUGAUCCAGCAAUGCCGCGUGAGUGAUGAAGGCCUUAGGGUUGUAAAGCUCUUUUACCCGGGAUGAUAAUGACAGUACCGGGAGAAUAAGCUCCGGCUAACUCCGUG